CCUACGGGAGGCAGCAGUGGGGAAUAUUGGUCAAUGGGCGCAAGCCUGACCCAGCAACGCCGCGUGAAGGAAGAAGGCUUUCUGGUUGUAAACCUCUUUUCUGAGGGACGAAGAAAGUGACGGUACCUCAGGAAUAAGCCACGGCUAACUACGUGCCAGCAGCCGCGGUAAUACGAAGGGGGCAAGUGUUAACCGGAUUUAUUGGGUGUAAAGGGCGUGUAGGGGGGAAAGCAAGUCAGAUGUGAAAACUCAGGGCUCAAACCUGGGCCUGCAUUUGAAACGGUUUUUCUGGAGUGCUGGAGAGGCAGUCGGAAUUCCGUGUGUAGCGGUGAAAUGCGUAGAUAUACGGAGGAACACCAGUGGCGAAGGCGGAGUGCUGGACAGUAACUGACGCUGAGGCGCGAAAGCGUGGGGAGCAAACAGGAUUAGAUACCCGGGUAGUC
rnacentral:rRNA from 1 species